rnacentral:rRNA from 1 species
AAAUGAAUUGACGGGGGCCCGCACAAGCAGUGGAGUAUGUGGUUUAAUUCGAAGCAACGCGAAGAACCUUACCAGGGCUUGACAUCCCUCGAAUUACGUAGAAAUACGUAAGUCCUACGGGACGAGGAGACAGGUGGUGCACGGUUGUCGUCAGCUCGUGUCGUGAGAUGUUGGGUUAAGUCCCGCAACGAGCGCAACCCCUGUUGUUAGUUGCCAUCAAGUAAAGUUGGGCACUCUAACAAGACUGCCGGUGAGAAAUCGGAGGAAGGUGGGGACGACGUCAAAUCAUCAUGCCCCUUAUGUCCUGGGCUACACACGUACUACAAUGGCUACUACAGAGGGCAGCGAAGUCGCGAGGCGAAGCGAAUCCCAUAAAAGUAGUCUCAGUUCGGAUUGUGGUCUGCAACUCGACCACAUGAAGCAGGAAUUGCUAGUAAUGGCAGGUCAUCAUACUGCCGUGAAUACGUUCCCGGGCCUUGUACACACCGCCCAU